GGCCACUUCCUGUUCCUCAAGUUAGUUCCGUCUUUACCGUCUUCGUGUCGCAGCUUCUUUUCUCCGUCUGAAUGCAGUUCUAAACAUGAGUUGUUCUUAUCAGCAGAACUUCAGUGCAACAGUUGUAGGAUGGAAAUGCUUUGAACGAUUGAUUUUUCAACAACACACGUAUAACAAGAACAUCGUGUGGACCAAACAGUGGUGGAAAAAAGUUUUGGGACUCCCCAUGUAUUUGUGAAAUACUGCAUUAAGAAUCCCUCUGAGGUCUUCAAGUGUAAUUUCUUUUAGUUCAGUCACAGCCAGAAUACUAAACGCAUCCUAAAAAAGACAUUAAAAACUAAAAACUGAUUGGUUCCAUAAAAAUACAGAAGAAGUACUGAGUUUUGGCUCAUUUUGGUUCCAGUGAUCCACUAAUGAAGGUCCUGCUUUUUAUUUAAAGACACAAUUUCUGUUGGCGUACUUCGUGUCUUUAUAAAGCAGCACAUUAGAAAGUUUUUCAGAGAUAAAAAUGACUAAAACAAAGAACCGAACACAGGAAACUCAGUCAGGAAGGGUGCAGCUGUAACCACAUGAACAGGAAGUGCAGAUGCAGCCCUUCAGCAGUUGGAUUCACUCUGCAGAAAUACAGACCAACCAACAGCUGGAAGACAAACCAACAUCUGGAUGUCCAAGAGUUUCUUCAGCAAGAAAUGACUUCAUCCUGAUCCACAUGGAAAACCAUGAUAGGAGCUUCAGCAGCAGUGGUCAAACCAAACUGGUGUCCAGUGUUCCACCAGACUUUUAGAUCAUGGCUGAAGGUCCUACAAGGCUGUCAAGAAGCUCCUGACCAAUGAGAGACAGAGGUUAGCCCGGCGUCGUUGGACCAAGAACACAAGAACUGGACAGCCAGGAAGUGGAAGAAGAUUCUGUGGUCAGAUGAGUCCAGAGUUGGUCCAAAAUAACUCAAAACUACUCCAAAGUGAAUUAAAAAGUUCCAAAAUGACUCAAAAUUUGUCUAAAAUGACUUUAAACUGUCUGAACAUGAUCUGGAAUUAGUUUGAAAUUUGUCCAAAAUUACUCAAAAUUAUUCUAGAUUUAUUAAAAUAGCUCAAAAUUAGUUAAAAUUAGUUAAAAUAUGUCAAACAAUUCUUAAAGUCUGUCCAAAAGUACUUAAAACUUGUGCAGAAAUGACUCAAACUGUUCUAGUUUACUUAAAAUUCAUCCAAAAACAGUUAAAAUGGUCAAGAAAUGACUACAAAUCUGAAUAAAAUGACUCAAAAGCCAUCUAAAAUAUCUCAGAAUUUGUCCAAACUGGUUUAAAUUUGUCCAUAUUUGUGGAUAUUUGUCAAAUGAUACUUUGAAUUGUCUGAACGUGAUCUGGAAUGAGUCAGAAAUUGCCUAAAAUUACUCAAAAUUUGUCCAAAAUGACUUUAAACUGUUUGAACGUGAUCUGAAAUUAGUUUGAAAUUCUUCCAAAUUUACUCAAAAUUAUUCAAGAUUUGUUUAAAAUAACGCAAAGUUUGUUAAACCUAGUUAA
ensembl:lncRNA